rnacentral:rRNA from 1 species
CCCUUAGACGCUCUAGGCGGCACGCGCGUUACAAUGGGUGGUAGAACGUGUAACUGCUCCCGAAAGGGAGGGUGAACCACGAAUACUUACCCGUGAAUGGGAUAGUUUGUUGCAAUUUUCGGACUUGAACUAGGAAUCCCUUGUAAGAAUGCUCAAGAAUAGCGUGCUGAAUACGUCCCUGCCGUUUGUACACACCGCCCGUCGUUUCUUCCGACUGAUACUCAUUGUGAGUUGCAAGGAUUCUUAUUGAAAAAUUGCUGCGAAUGCUUUGUAUUGGAGGAAGAAAAAGUCGUAACA